rnacentral:rRNA from 1 species
CCUUAGAUGUCCUGGGCCGCACGCGCGCUACACUGACACACGCAGCGAGUUUUCCUUGUCCGAAAGGUCUGGGUAAUCUUGUAAAUGUGUGUCGUGAUAGGGAUAGAUUAUUGCAAUUAUUAAUCUUGAACGAGGAAUUCCUAGUAAAUGCGGGUCAUCAGCUCGCGUUGAUUACGUCCCUGCCCUUUGUACACACCGCCCGUCGCACCUACCGAUUGGAUGAUUCGGUGAAACUUUCGGACUGUGAUCAAGACGCUCUCGGGCGACUCGGUCGCGGGAAGUUAUUUAAACCUCAUCAUCUAGAGGAAGGUGAAGUCGUAACAAGGUU